rnacentral:lncRNA from 1 species
ACACGCCCAGAUGAUGUCACAAUCAGCUGUAUCUAAACAGAGCAGAGCUCAGGUGACAUCACAGAACAGGCAGAGGCAGUUCAGGGGUAUUCUGGUUGCCUUACCCAGCUCUGAAGUCUGUCAGCCUCUUCAGAUGUCACUUGCCAUGUGGUAAGGAAGUGUAGUCAGCAGCUGGUGCAGUGGGAAGAAGAGAAAGGAAGUUCCCCAAGACAAAAACAUCUCGGCAGACCGUGAUCAUGGGCUACAUUCUCCGUACCAGCUUCAUAGCUCCAGUGAGAAAAUAAAUUCCUGCAUCCAGGAGAUGUGGAGUAAGAGAUACAGCUGCCCUUGACCAUAUUUCUUACUUCCGAGAAGAUCGUAGCAGUAAUUCAGGUUAUUGGGGAACAGGUGGUUUGGGUUACAUGAAAUCUCAUCCAGGAUACCUCAUCACAGGCUGGAGUGCAGUGUCAUGAGCUUGGCUCACUACAGCCUCCAUCUUCUGUGCUUAAGGAUCCUUCCCUCUCAACCUCCAAGGUAGCUGAGACUACAGGCAACAUUCGAAACCCAGGUGCCACUCCUUCAGGAAGGUACCAUCAAGCUCCAAGGACUCAUCCUCUUUCUCCUUCCCCACUACCUAGUCAUUAGAGCGUCAGCAUCCACUUCCUGAAAGGAAGAUGCCUGUUUUUCACAUAUCCCAGAAAGCCUCAUUUUAGGACAGCAUUUAGCAGAGUGUAUUCAGGAUCCCACUAACCUUUUCGGAAGACAUGACUUCCAGAUGAUAUAAGGCAAGAAUAAGAAAUUUCAGUGACAGGGAACAGAAAUCAUAUUUCUGCAUUCAGGAUCAUGUUUUCUUGGCUCCAUCAGGAACUGUGCAGGACUGUGCACUCUGUUGAUACUCACAUGGUGGAAUUAUAUUGCCCUUGGCCAACCCUAAAGCCAUCAAGAUAGCAGGUUUGGAAUAAUUCACUGUCGAAGUCUUCUUGAGCUGAGCAGUCAUGUGAGCUUGGAAGAUGAUCCCUCUCCAGCUGAUCCUUCAGCUCAGGCCAUCAUCUACAUCUGGAUUCCUGACCCGGAGAAACUAUGAGUAAUGUGUGCUGCUUUUGAGCCACUAAGCUACAUGAAUUAAUGAAGGAUCAUUAUUAAGUUUUUAAUGGGUCAAGAGAAAGUUACCACUGAGGUCUUCUCUACCUGGGCAACAAUUGACUCCUAACAACCACUAUAAGCUUGGAAGAUGAUCCCUCCCCAGCUGAUCCUUCAGGAAUUUCCACUGAAGUACCUCUGGUUGAAAAGGAGAACAGAGACUUUUUUCACAGCCACAGGACAAAAUUUGUUCAGAAUUAAAUGCUGAAAAAGGAGGCUGGAGUGCCGUGGCACAAUUAUGGUUCACCAGCCUCAACCUCCUGGGAUCAAGCAAUCGUCUCACCUCAGCCUCCUGAGUAGCUGGACUGCAGGUACCCACAAGUAGGGUUGACCACAGUAACAAGUAAGCAAGCAAAACAUUUUGUGAAAACCGUGAAGCAUCUUCCUCUGCAGUGACUUAUCAAAAGGGCCCUUUAGCCUAUCUACUGUGGUGUUCUAAAAGGAAGAAAGAGGCUAGUAAAUCCUGGAUACUUUGCUCCUACACCAAUAUUCCCAGCUGUACCUUGAAAUAAAAGGAUUUAGAACUUUAGAACAUUGCUGUUGUUGCUUAUGUCUCUAAUGUUCUCUUGAAUCU